GCUGGGCGUGGUGGCGCGUGCCUGUAGUCCCAGCUACUCGGGAGGCUGAGGCAGGAGAAUCGCUUGAACUCGGGAGACAGAGGUUGCAGUGAGCCGAGAUGGUGCCACUGCACUCCAGCCUGGGCAACAGAGCGAGACUCUGUCUCAA
ensembl:misc_RNA Metazoa_SRP Metazoan signal recognition particle RNA